GAAAGCGGACUGCGGGAAAACUGCACGGUCCGUUUGGUCGAGCGGACGGAGGAAGGCACACGCCAACCUCUUCCGACUCUAC
rnacentral:misc_RNA from 1 species